rnacentral:rRNA from 1 species
GACGAACGCUGGCGGCGUGCCUAACACAUGCAAGCCUGGGAGAAGAGAGUAGCAAUACUUUUUGUAAACCGGCGCACGGGUGAGUAAUAUAUAGGUAACCUGCCCUUUGGUUUGGGAUAACUCGUCGAAAGGCGAGCUAAUACUGAAUGAUGCAGCGGCUCCACAUGGAGAUGUUGUUAAAGCCUUCGGGCGCCAAGGGAUGGGCCUGUAUCCCAUUAGAUAGUUGGUGAGGUAACGGCUCACCAAGUCAAUGAUGGGUAGCUGAUCUGAGAGGAUGAUCAGCCACACUGGAACUGAGACACGGUCCAGACUCCUACGGGAGGCAGCAGUGAGGAAUAUUGCGCAAUGGAUGAAAGUCUGACGCAGCGACGCCGCGUGGAGGAUGAAGGCCCUUUGGGUCGUAAACUCCUGUAGAGUGGGAAGAAUAUCCCUUUUGAAGGGUUUGACGGUACCACUAAAGUAAGGAUCGGCUAACUACGUGCCAGCAGCCGCGGUAAUACGUAGGAUCCGAGCGUUGUCCGGAAUUACUGGGUGUAAAGGGAGCGCAGGCGGGUCUAUAAGUCGACGGUGAAAUCUUCCAGCUCAACUGGAAAACUGCCGCCGAUACUGUAGAUCUUGAAUAUGUCAGAGGGAAACGGAAUUCAUGGUGUAGCGGUGAAAUGCGUAGAUAUCAUGAAGAACACCAGUCGCGAAGGCGGUUUCCUGGGACAUUAUUGACGCUCAUGCUCGAAAGUGUGGGGAGCAAACAGGAUUAGAUACCCUGGUAGUCCACACCUUAAACGAUGAAUACUAGGUGUCGGGUCGCAAGACUCGGUGCCAAAGCUAACGCAUUAAGUAUUCCACCUGGGGAGUACGAUCGCAAGGUUGAAACUCAAAU